GAAUAUUGGACAAUGGGCGAAAGCCUGAUCCAGCCAUGCCGCGUGUGUGAAGAAGGCUUUCGGGUUGUAAAGCACUUUCAGUGAGGAAGAAAGCCUUGGGGUUAAUACCCCCGAGGAAGGACAUCACUCACAGAAGAAGCACCGGCUAACUCCGUGCCAGCAGCCGCGGUAAUACGGAGGGUGCGCGCGUUAAUCGGAAUUACUGGGCGUAAAGCGCGCGUAGGCGGCUAAGUAAGCCGGUUGUGAAAGCCCCGGGCUCAACCUGGGAACGGCAUCCGGAACUGUUUAGCCAGAGUGCAGGAGAGGAAGGUAGAAUUCCCGGUGUAGCGGUGAAAUGCGUAGAGAUCGGGAGGAAUACCAGUGGCGAAGGCGGCCUUCUGGACUGACACUGACGCUGAGGUGCGAAAGCGUGGGUAGCAAACAGG
rnacentral:rRNA from 1 species